AAUAUUUGGCAAUGGGGGAAACCCUGACCCAGCAACGCCGCGUGAGGGAAGAAGGCUUUCGGGUUGUAAACCUCUGUCGUAGGGGACGAAACAAAUGACGGUACCCUGUGAGGAAGCCCUGGCUAACUACGUGCUAGCAGCCGCGGUAAUACGUAGGGGGCGAGCGUUGUCCGGAAUUACUGGGCGUAAAGGGUGCGUAGGUGGCUAUUUAAGUUGGAUGUGAUAUAACCGGGCUUAACCUGGGGGGUGCAUUCAAAACUGGAUGGCUAGAGUGCAGGAGAGGGAAGCGGAAUUCCUAGUGUAGCGGUGAAAUGCGUAAAUAUUAGGAGGAACACCAGUGGCGAAGGCGGCUUUCUGGACUGUAACUGACACUGAGGCACGAAAGCGUGGGGAGCAAACAGG
rnacentral:rRNA from 1 species